ensembl:lncRNA
CAACAGGUCAACAGGUCUAAUAACCAACAGGUCUAAUAACCAACAGGUCAGCAGGUCUAAUAACCAACAGGUCAACAGGUCUAAUAACCAACAGGUCAACAGGUCAAAUAACCAACAGGUCUAAUAACCAACAGGUCAACAGGUCUAAUAACCAACAGGUCAACAGGUCUAAUAACCAACAGGUCUAAUAACCAACAGGUCUAAUAACCAACAGGUGAACAGGUCUAGGUCUAAUAACCAAUAGGUCAACAGGUCUAGGUCUAAUAACCAACAGGUCUAAUAUAACCAACUGGUCAGCAGGUCUAAUAACCAACAGGUCUAAUAACCAACAGGUCAACAGGUC